rnacentral:snRNA from 1 species
AUCGCUUCUCGGCCUUUUGGCUAAGAUCAAGUGUAGUAUCUGUUCUUAUCAGUUUAAUAUCUGAUACGUCCCCCAUCGGGGGACUACAUAUUAAAUGGAUUUUUCGAACAGGGAGUCGGAAAUGGGGCUUGCUCCGUCCGCUCCACGCAUCGACCCGGUAUUGCAGUACCUCCGGGACGGUUGCAACACUU